AAUGAACGCUGGCGGCAUGCCUAACACAUGCAAGUCGAACGAAGGCUUCGGCCUUAGUGGCGCACGGGUGCGUAACGCGUGGGAAUCUGCCCUUGGGUUCGGAAUAACAGUUAGAAAUGACUGCUAAUACCGGAUGAUGACGUAAGUCCAAAGAUUUAUCGCCCAAGGAUGAGCCCGCGUAGGAUUAGCUAGUUGGUGGGGUAAAAGCCCACCAAGGCGACGAUCCUUAGCUGGUCUGAGAGGAUGAUCAGCCACACUGGGUCUGAGACACGGCCCAGACUCCUACGGGAGGCAGCAGUGGGGAAUAUUGGACAAUGGGCGAAAGCCUGAUCCAGCAAUGCCGCGUGAGUGAUGAAGGCCUUAGGGUUGUAAAGCUCUUUUACCCGGGAUGAUAAUGACAGUACCGGGAGAAUAAGCUCCGGCUAACUUCGUGCCAGCAGCCGCAGUAACAC
rnacentral:rRNA from 1 species